ACCGUUCAGGGGUAAACCUGAGAAACCCAAAAGAUCGAAUGGGGAGAUUCAUCGUCAGCUCAUUUUGUAUAUAUACGAGUUAUGAUAUGGGUUACUACUUGUAGUAUUGCCUGUACAUUCUUGUAUAUUUUAUUGCAAGAUGUUGUCGGCGUGCACUUCUCCCCUAGUAGGACGUCGCGACCCGUUGAGUGUCGGUCUACGGCCCGAGUGGUAGCCUUUAAUUCUUGUAAUUAAAGACCCUUGGUGUUUCCUGGCUGGCUACUCGGCGGUAUUCGUACGGUAUUAAGCCGCAUUUAUGCGUUCAUAUCCGUCGCAAGCGCGGUCAAUUUUUGGUAGUACGGACCUAGUGCCGUCGCUAUAAUUGAUCAGCUGUUGGUUGUACGGUAUUCUAGAACUGGCUUAACAUAUACCGGUCUGCGAUGCUACUGCUUUGGGUACUUUCAGGA
rnacentral:rRNA from 1 species